UACGUAGGGGGCAAGCGUUGUCCGGAUUUAUUGGGCGGAAAGAGCGUGUAGGCGGCCUUACAGGUCAGCUGUGAAAACUCGAGGCUCAACCUCGAGAGGUCGGUUGAAACCGUAAGGCUAGAGUCCGGAAGAGGAGAGUGGAAUUCCCGGUGUAGCGGUGAAAUGCGUAGAUAUCGAGAGGAACACCUGCGGCGAAGGCGGGUUGCUGGGCUGACACUGACGCUGAAGCGCGAAAGCUAGGGGAGCGAACGGG
rnacentral:rRNA from 1 species